GACGAACCGUGCGAACGUUGUUCGGAAUCACUGGGCUUAAAGAGCGUGUAGGCGGCCAGGUAGGUCUGCUGUGAAAACUCGAGGCUUAACCUCGAGCUGUCGGCGGAAACCAUCUGGCUAGAGUCCGGAAGAGGAGAAUGGAAUUCCCGGUGUAGCGGUGAAAUGCGCAGAUAUCGGGAAGAACACCUGUGGCGAAGGCGGCCCCCUGGUUGGAUACUGACGCUGAUACGCGAAGGCGUGGGGAGCAAACAGG
rnacentral:rRNA from 1 species